AUUCUGCCCAUGCGGGGAAGGAUGAGAAGCUUCGACCAAGGUUCGACUCGAGCGCCAGCGAGAGAGCGUUGCCGCAGGCAACGACCCGAAGGACGAAGCGCGCAGCGCUGAGUAAUCCUUCCCCCACCACCA
rnacentral:sRNA from 1 species